rnacentral:rRNA from 1 species
CAGUAGCCGCGGUAAUACGAAGGGGGCUAGCGCUGCUCGGAAUGACUGGGCGUAAAGGGCGCGUAGGCGGUUUGCACAGUCGGGUGUGAAAUUCCUGGGCUUAACCUGGGGGCUGCAUUCGAGACGUGUAGGCUUGAGUGGGGAAGAGGGUCGUGGAAUUCCCAGUGUAGAGGUGAAAUUCGUAGAUAUCGGAAGGAACACCUGUGGCGAAAGCGGCUCACUGGACCAUUUCUGACGCCGAUGCACGAAAGCUAGGGGAGCAAACAGGAUUAGAUACCCCAGUAGUCCCUGUCUCUUAUAC